AAAUGGUGAACCACUAGUUUUGUUGUGGACCACCAAACUAACCAGAAAACCUAAAUACAAUCCAUGAUUUUAGAAUACCUAGGGAAGGUCAAAAUGGUGGACCACCAGUUUUGCGGUGGACCACCAAUUUGGACAAAAUUUUUCUGAAUGUAAAUUUUAAAUUCUUUUUACCAGGGAACUUAUAAAUACAAGUUUUAGGUUUAAUUAAGGAUUAUUUGAGAGUUUAUAUCCAGAUCUCAUAUCUUCAAAUCUAUUCUUUUUUUUCUUUUAUACUUUAUCCAUUUUUCCAUCUCAAGAAACUUUUUUUAACCUAGUAUUUUGGGAAAUUAAGAAAAUCUUGUGGAUCUAAGCAUUCCCUCUCUAUUGAAAAUUCAAGAACAAAUUCUUGUAACCUUUGUAAGUAAAUCUUGAAUUUAUUUAUGAAUAAUACAAAGUUGCUUUAUAUUUUUUCUAUGGAAAUAUGUGGCUAAGCUCCCAUAACUAGGGUUAUGGGAACCUUGAUGUGAAAAACUAAUUUGGGUUGUGAAUCUAAUUGAGUUCCAUGAGUAAUUGAUGUUGUAGAAACCUUUCUUCACUUUAAUGACUUUUAUUGGUUGCAAACUUGAAAAGUGAGCUUAAGAACAACACUUGUCCGACAGGAAAGUGCAUGUUGGGAAAAGAAUGGGUUUACAUGGACUCUAAGGACUUUAAUCUUUACAUUAAUGGAAAAUUCCUUAACAGGAAUGGCCUAUAUUAGAUAAUGGUUGAUUAACCAAUGCAUUCUUUAAGUUUGAGAGAAUUAAAGGAAUUAAACGAUAGGCUUCCCAUUAAAGUUGAGAAACGAAUGGGAAAAUAUCGGAUUUAACUACUCUUGCAAUUGAAGUUGUCAGUUGGAAGUCUAAAUUGAUUCAUAACCCUAGAUGUUCAAACAUCUUGGUAACCAUAACUCUGGUUUGUUUAAUAUUAUUGAAUUAUUACAAAAAGAAUCAUUUGAUGGAAUGACUCUGUUAUAAUUAGUUAGAACAUAAUUAACAAUUUAAAAACACCCCAUUUUAUCUUUUCAUAUCAUUUGAUUGACUAUACCUUGUAGCUAUAGUUUUAAAUUAAUUUAAUCGCCACUCACUUAGUUCCUCAUGGAUUCGACCUCGACUCUAAAGUUGGGUAAAUAUAUUGACGACUAUCGGAUUACACUAAAUUGAUGUGUAAGUUCAGAUUUAUCAAGUAUUUCUAUCUCUUACCUUUAAAUUCACUUUGAAGACGAAGAUAUUUUUAAGAGUGUAAGGAUGGGGGGGGAUCCCAAAUUUUGACUCAAUUUAAAAAAAUUUAGAUUAGGAAUAUGUGAGAUAUUCUUGUCCGUGCUAUUUUUUAUUACAUAAUCCAAGUGGGUUUGUUUGUAAAAGCAUGUUGAUUGUGUGAAUUACUAUUUUUGAGACUCUUAGGCUCAUGUGUGUGACUUUUGUACUAUUUGGCUUAAUUUUGAAUUUGUGCUAUUGUUUGGUUGGGAGUCUAUGAUAAUCCUAUUUAGUUGAGCAUGCGCUUUGUGUGAUGUGAGAAUUUUUGUAAAUUCCUUGUAGCAUGUGAUAUCUAGAACUUGCUUGAUGUAUGUUUGAAGCAAAAUAAAGAAUGUAGGUUUAGGAGAUGAUAUAGGCAUUUCUUUCAUAGCCUUGUUUCUGCCUUCUAUUUGACAUACCUAUUGUGCAUUAUCCUAGUUAUCCCCCAUUGAGCCUUUAGCUUAUUUUAUUUAGUAGCCACAUAUGUAACCGAAUCCCCUUCUUUGAUAGAGGUUAAUUUGAUACAAAAAGCACCUAAGUGCUUUAAAAAAAUUGAAAUAGUAAGGAGUUUGAAAAAUUAAAGAAAAAAAAUGUGAAAUUGAUGCCCCAAGGUAAUAGUUAUUGGUGUAUAAUUGAUGUGUGGUGGAUGGUUGUGAUAUAGUUUAUGCUAAAAAUAUUGCCAUGAUUUUGAAAAAAGAGAAAACAAUUAAUUCUUUUGGUAGUAAUCUAUGUGUUCACCGAGUGUUUGUGAAAAUGCUUAAAAGAGAUGGGGCAAAAACAAACGUUAUGGAUGAAUGAAUUAGUGUAAUUUGGUUGUUGAAGAGUGAUUUUAAAUGAAUAAUGUAGAGUAUUAAAGCACUUAGAGAGGUUAGUCACUAUUUUAAAAUAGUCUCUACCCAUCCCUUAGCCUACAUUACAACCCAAAAAAGUCCUAAUUGAUCCUAAGAUUUACAUUCGACUAUUAGUGGAGCAUUACACUAAGGGAAAGCCUAUGGUUCAUUGUGUAUAACUUGUGAAUUUUUGAUGAGAGUGAGCAUAAAUUGAUUCUUGUGCCCAUCAUGAACUAAAUUUCUUAAUUAUGAGUGAUCAUGGGUAAUACUCUUGUUGUGAGGGUCACCUGUUUGAUGAAUGUGGGUGACUUGUAUGAUGUCCUUGAUUGAAUGAUAUGCAUGAGUUUGCCAACUAGGUGAGUAAAUUCUUGAGGUUAGAAUGUUUUGGAGUAGUAUUAAUGAGCUUUCAAUUGUGUAAACAACAUGCUUAGUGUAGUAACUUGCAUUCUGUGUAGUCAUGGUAGCAUUAGCUUUAGUGUCUUGCAUUCAGUAGAGGUGUAGAAUUCAACCUAGUCUAAGCUCUAGUUUUUUAUUCAUCGUAAUUGGUUUAGUGUUGUUUGUGAUUCUAAUUCAUAUGGGGUGAUAAUGUAGAAUUCUUUUAGAGAUGAAUAUUAUGAUAUUUUGAUAUUAAAGAGGCUUGGAAUUCAUGGGAAAGACACAACAAGACAAUGGAUAGAAGGAGGAAGGGCCAACACUUAACAGAAAUUUUGAGGAUAAUUUCCAGAGAGUGCAUAAGUUCAACAUGCGUCGCAUUCUCAACUCCUGUGCAAGACAGGGUCCGAUGGAUGCCUCAUUCCAUAUCUUUAGAGGUUGUGAUGCACGCUCCACUCCACACAUGGGUGUUUGAUGCUAAAUUGACUCCUAGACGUACUUAGCUUACACUUAUGCCAUCUAUACAUGUUGUAUCACGUUUUUACAUAUCUUUUGACAUAUUUUGGAGAUCAAGGGGCUACUACAACUUCAUAAAUAGGUUUUUAUUAAUUUUAUUUAGUUCAUACAUGUUUUUAGUCAUUAAUUACAACUUUGUGAUUACGAUUAUGACUAUGCGUGGCUAAACGCCCUCUUUCCGAGAUUGAAG
rnacentral:lncRNA from 1 species